rnacentral:rRNA from 1 species
AGAGUUUGAUCCUGGCUCAGGACGAACGCUGGCGGCGUGCCUAAUACAUGCAAGUCGAACGAGAGCGACCGGUGCUUGCACUGGUCAAUCUAGUGGCGAACGGGUGAGUAACACGUGGGUAACCUGCCCAUCAGAGGGGGAUAACAUUCGGAAACGGAUGCUAAAACCGCAUAGGUCCUUUAACCGCAUGGUUGAAGGAGGAAAAGAGGCGCAAGCUUCUGCUGAUGGAUGGACCCGCGGUGCAUUAGCUAGUUGGUGAGGUAACGGCUCACCAAGGCCGUGAUGCAUAGCCGACCUGAGAGGGUGAUCGGCCACAUUGGGACUGAGACACGGCCCAAACUCCUACGGGAGGCAGCAGUAGGGAAUCUUCCGCAAUGGACGCAAGUCUGACGGAGCAACGCCGCGUGAGUGAAGAAGGUUUUCGGAUCGUAAAACUCUGUUGUUAGAGAAGAACAAGUGCUAGAGUAACUGUUAGCGCCUUGACGGUAUCUAACCAGAAAGCCACGGCUAACUACUUGCCAGCAGCCGCGGUAAUACGUAGGUGGCAAGCGUUGUCCGGAUUUAUUGGGCGUAAAGCGAGCGCAGGCGGUUCCUUAAGUCUGAUGUGAAAGCCCCCGGCUCAACCGGGGAGGGUCAUUGGAAACUGGGGAACUUGAGUGCAGAAGAGGAGAGUGGAAUUCCAUGUGUAGCGGUGAAAUGCGUAGAUAUAUGGAGGAACACCAGUGGCGAAGGCGACUCUCUGGUCUGUAACUGACGCUGAGGCUCGAAAGCGUGGGUAGCAAACAGGAUUAGAUACCCUGGUAGUCCACGCCGUAAA